rnacentral:rRNA from 1 species
UACGUAGGCAGCAAGCGUUGUUCGGAAUUACUGGGCGUAAAGAGUGUGUAGGCGGUGUUCUAAGUCUGUUGUGAAAUCUCCCGGCUUAACUGGGAGGGUGCGGCGGAAACUGGAAUGCUAGAGGAUGGGAGAGGUAAGCGGAAUUCCUGGUGUAGCGGUGAAAUGCGUAGAUAUCAGGAGGAACACCUGUGGUGUAGACAGCUUACUGGACCAUUUCUGACGCUGAGACACGAAAGCGUGGGGAGCGAACAGG